rnacentral:rRNA from 1 species
UCCAGACUCCUACGGGAGGCAGCAGUGGGGGAUAUUGCACAAUGGGGGGAACCCUGAUGCAGCGACGCCGCGUGGGUGAAGGAGUAUUUCGGUAUGUAAAGCUCUGUCAGCAGGGAAGAGAAUGACGGUACCUGACCAAGAAGCCCCGGCUAAAUACGUGCCAGCAGCCGCGGUAAUACGUAUGGGGCAAGCGUUAUCCGGAUUUACUGGGUGUAAAGGGAGCGUAGGCGGCAGGGCAAGCCUGAUGUGAAAGCCCGGGGCUCAACCCCGGGACUGCAUUGGGAACUGCCCCGCUCGAGUGCCGGAGGGGCAGGCGGAAUUCCUAGUGUAGCGGUGAAAUGCGUAGAUAUUAGGAGGAACACCAGUGGCGAAGGCGGCCUGCUGGACGGUGUACUGACGCUGAGGCUCGAAAGCGUGGGGAGCAAACAGGAUUAGAUACCCGAGUA